GUCAGUCUUUUGCUUUCAACCAGCUACCAGUGCACAGACCGCCACAGACUCUGACAUCCAACCCGGACACAUACUUGCAACAUGAAGAGUCAAAUCAAAAGCUCUGAAUGAAGAACUGUGAAGGAAGACUACAGAUGCAGAGCAGGGCGUCUUCUCCCUCCUGUGAGGUCUUUCUGAACCCUUCACCUUGGAACGAUUGGGAGAGGUGGAAACCAGCUGAAGAGAAUGAUGCAGUAUCAACCAACAAGCAGAAUAUCAGCUUCGCUAAUGAUAGGAAAGAACCAUGAGGAAUCGAGAAGAAUGGUGUUAUGGGCUGAAUCGUGUCUCCUCCAAAAUUUGUAUCUUGAAGGCCUAACCCCCAGUACCUCAGAAUGUGACUGCAUUUG